UGUACCCGAUAGGUACAUUUUGGCAUUUUUGUUUGCUAUAAAAUGUGAAUCCUGAUGAACAUGACUCCAGUUGUUGGCAAGAGUCAUAGCAGUGAAAGUUGAAGUGCUGAAGAGUUCUAGUGAUAUUGUUUGUGUGGAAUUUGCAGUCGAGUGUUGUGCUCCAGAGAUGAGUGUAAUUCUGCAUUCAAAUUUCUUCGGGAUGAGGAAAAAAAUCUCUGUUUCACUUUUAUUACUCACUUUGUGACGGACUCAACGGAACCGUCACAGGAAUUCCGGGGUUAGCAAUGAAAGAUAGUUCAUUUAUCCAACUAUGCCAUUUUCUGGAUAAAUCGGUUAAAGUUUUAUCAUCCCAACCUAUUACCAGUCGCCAAAUAUCCUGUAUUAGAAUCGUCGACUCAAUUGUUAUAUGUGCCAUCAAACCCAACGGGUCAUACUUACACACUCAUUAUAAAUGACAAGACUUGUCGCUUCGUAGGUUCACUAAUGGAUUCAGUAGGAAGGUUAAUUUUGACCAAGAAAAAUUUUGACGUCUCACUUCUUACUCCUCAAUUUUCUCUUCUCACUGUAAAAAGUUCCUAAUUUCUCACUUUUCACUUUUCGGCCAAAUGUCCCUUCCGGCCAAACGACCCAUUCGGGCAAAUGACCCUUUAGGCCAAACGACCUUUUCGGCCAAAUGUCCCUUCUGGCCAAACGACCUUUUCGGCCAAAUGACCCUUUCGACCAUACGACCCUUUCGAUCAAAUGGGUUUCGGCCAAACGACCCUUCCCAACGACCAGAGUUUUUAACUUCGAAGGAAAGUGAUAAACUACGCAUAUUGGCACAACGGACAACAUAUGUAUCGGGUGUAUCGAGCAUAGGCAAGGAUUUGUGCACCGAACAGGGGUUCUAUUAACCCGGCGUCUGGAAGAAUUCUAGCAUUGUGUGAUCUUUGGUUACCCGGUUAGAUGAAUCCAAUGGUGCAAUGAUGGACACACACUUGCAGAGUACGAGCUUUUGAAAAGCAACCGUAUGCUAGGAAAGUACCUACGGCAUGUACGAAUCCAUUUUAUCAAUUUCCUGUCCCUUGCUGAAGAUUCUCUUCACAUCCUCUCCCACUGCUUUCGUCCACACCCAUAAUAUCAGAUCUCCGAAUUGGCUGUUGAGUUGUUUGUAUAUUCUAAUCCGGGGAGGGCAGCACAAUGCUUGAACCUGGAGCUUAUCGAGCAUAUACGAACCCGAAAGUGUGGAUGGUCGGGGAAUUUCGUAAGGAACAUGUCUUUGGCUGCGACCACCUUGCUAUAGUUCUCAUUUUGUUCCCAUUUAGAUCUUAUCAGAAACAAAUUCCGUAGGCGAGAAUGAAGAUUCGGUGUGGUAGUCCUUCAUCAGGAUUUCAAUGCGUUGAAUAAGAAGUUUUCUAUAGUCUGCUCUAUGCCCGCUAUGGACAGCUCGCCGGGUCGUUCACACCUUCACCUUCCGACUUUAGUUGGCAUUUUAGAGUGCCCAGGAAUUCCCACAGGAUGUGAGUGGCAGCGUCCACCUUGAGAUUCUUGUCUUCCACUGCCUUUCGAAAAGUUCACCAGAAUUCCGAUCCAGUACCGUCCAGUUUUCCGAUGUGGACAUUGAGCUGAUAUCAUUAUAUAAGUCUCCGAUUGAUACUUCCUCUGCCAAUGCAGCGGUGAUAUCUUCGUUGUUGCAUUCCUCGAUCCAGCAGUUUUGAAUCGCUGGUUUCAGGUCCGCGCAACGUUUGCUUGGAUUAUCGCGUAGAUCUGGACCCGAUACUAAUAUGCGCUUUCAGUGGCAUUGACUUGAAUUAAACACUUGAGGAGGAAAGGAAACAAAGCCUUGAACACAUCUUUACUGAAUCAAUCAACAACUAAGUAAAUCAUAGACAAACUCACUACUGUUUUUUUAAUAUUCGAUACAGAAAACAUGAAAAAAUAUCACUGGCAUAUUGUUUUUAUUAGGCAUUCGGUCGCACACAUUCAAUCUUAAACCGAAUACGUUGUUAACUUGUAUGCAUUUCGAAUAAAAAAACGAAUAAAUCGCAAAGCCUACGACUUGAAUGAGCCUAUUAAUAUUUUUAUAAGUCUACUAGUUGUAAGUAUAACUGGCAAUUAGCAAACGAAGAGGUGAACAAUAAAGGUUUAGAUAAGUGAUAGCUAUCAUAACAUUCGGUCCCUGAACCGGUAAACUUAGAGCAGAGCUUUUAGAUAGGAUUAUUGCGCCCUCUCAAUUUAAAUCUCUCUCUCUCUCUCUCUUUUUAUACACGACUAAAGCAACAACAAAAAUCCUUCCAUAUCACAAAGAAAUGUUCACUAUUUUCCGUAAUUAUAAGUACUGCGAAAACUGAUCAGUAUGAUUAUCGGUGACCAUGAUUGUCCUCUAUUUAACAAUUUAUUUUACCGAAAAAAAAAUCAAUUCUUAAAAACGAACCGACUUAAAAACUCAAACAGAUGUCAAUUUGAAAUCACAAGACAAAAUUAAACUCUAUUUUUUAUAUUAAUGUAAAUGAGAAUAAUGUAGAACAACACAGAAGGAGGUAGAUAUUGAAAGCUGUGUGAAUAUCGGUAGAUUUUUUUUUGUGUACUGAACUAUCGAUUUAAAAGACAUGCGUUUACGAAGGCGAAAAGUAGGGUAGUGACGAAAAUAUUCCGAGCUCAGCUACGUGUUAAAAACCAGAAUGUUAACUAAACUUGCCGCUGUCUGUUUCUCUAAUUUAAGUUGAAUGAAGCAUCUGCCUAAUUGAUAAACGAAUCCCAAAUUAACACACGAGUGUCGUACUGAGAAAGAGAAAAUGAAUACAUGUGAAAUGUGAAUGUUAUGAAAUAUAAAGUUAUAUUUGAAGAGAUAAAAUUUCGAAAUAGAUUUAUCGAGGAUAGGAAAUAUAAAAUUAAAACACUGAA